GUGCCAUCGACACGUGCCUCGGAGCCCGUUAGUCCAACAUCCUCGCUUGUCGAAAGAUAGUCUUGAAAGAAUCUGAGUCCCUGCACAGAUAGAAAGCCAACAGGAGCUCACGAGCCAGCAUGCAGAUGUCGGGAUUCCUUGUGCUCUUCCUGGUUUCUCUGUUGAGCCUUGUGGCCUGCACUGCCAUUGACCAGGCUGGUCAAAUCAUCGGCGGAUUAACCACGGCUUUGGCAAACGCGGUGCGUGCUCUCGCCGGCAGCGGCGCCAAGUCGAAGGAUACGAGUGACUAAAGUGUGAUGUUCAUCGACCAACGAAAGUAAACCGCGUUGC
rnacentral:lncRNA from 1 species